GGAACGUGGCAAUUCCCACAGCACAAAUUCAUGGAAAACCGCUUAAAAACAUGCUUUCCAACAAGAACUCUCAUUUGAGUAUUCAAUUAUGAGACAAAGCCGCAAUUACUUAUGGGAGCAUAAUUAUGGAAAUAAAAUAUCCUACAAAACUUGAAAUCUGAAGAAAACGAACGAGUAUUUUAUUUCUGAAAUGAUUUUUUUUUCAAGGUUUCGAAGUUUUACCCUUUGGAAACAACCACAUGCUGAAGAUUUUCUUCAUAAUAGAGGCUUUGGUUUUGCAGACGUUAUAUGUCAAGGAGGAGUCUCCGUGGGUCUUCCACGACAUCCUUGAUGCGGCGCAAAAAGAACACGGCCUCUCUCCCAUCAAUGAGUCUAUGGUCAUAUGUUAGAGCAAUGUACAUCAUUGGCCUUGGGACAACGUUGCCUCCAACCACCACAGGACGGGAGACGAUCGAGUGCAUUCCCAAGAUUGCAGACUGAGGAGGAUUAAUAAUGGGGGUACUCAGAAGGCUUC
rnacentral:misc_RNA from 1 species